CAGUAGCCGCGGUAAUACGUAGGUGGCAAGCGUUGUCCGGAAUUACUGGGCGUAAAGCGUGCGUAGGCGGUUUGUUAAGUCUGUUGUGAAAUCCCCGGGCUCAACCUGGGAAUGGCAAUGGAUACUGGCAAGCUAGAGUGUGUCAGAGGAUGGUGGAAUUCCCGGUGUAGCGGUGAAAUGCGUAGAGAUCGGGAGGGACAUCAGUGGCGAAGGCGGCCAUCUGGGACAACACUGACGCUGAGGCACGAAAGCGUGGGGAGCAAACAGGAUUAGAUACCCGCGUAGUCCCUGUCUCUUAUAA
rnacentral:rRNA from 1 species